UCUACGCUUUCAUCCCCGACCUCCUGAUUGCGGAACCCACUUUCCCUCCCUGCAACAAUCAUGUUUUUUUUUUUUCUUUGAUAACCUCUUUCUCUCUCAGAGAUCUUCUACUCUUCCUUUUUAAUUGGUAUGUACAUCGUCGGCCGUAACUGCGCCAUCGAUUAUUUCCGGCGUCGGUUGUUUCCUUACAUAAUAGCCGCCAUAGUUAUCUCUAGUCUCACUGAAUCCUCCCAAAACCCAAAACUCAAAACUGAAAAACAAAAGAAGAAGAAAGAAUCCGUCGACGAGUCAGUUUUCCAACGAUCGAAGACGCGUCACUCGUGGUGUGCUCGACUAUGAACAUGCACAUAAUCCUUCGAUUGUUUUUCAUCUAGUUAGUGUGUCUCUAUAAGUAAUAGAGAGGUAGACAAGAUGGCCAACCACAGAGAAAUGGAAAACAACGCAAACAAAUGCAUUCAGAGCUUACAAAACUAUUCAUUACAUGAAAGAAGGUUGCUGCCUUAAUGAAGUUGAAUCUGACGAAGAGACGUACCAGUCAGUGCUUGCACUGUAGUAAUAGAGACGUACCAGUCAGUGCAAAGCUGUUUCGUGAGCUUACCUUCCUUCAAUUGGCUACUCAAGUGGCUAGUGCCAAGUGCCCUUCCCAAAAACACAAUCCCUAUGGAGAUUAGUCCUAGUUGUAGCUUUCAAGUCAAUCAAAGGUACUGCAUUCACAAUGACAUUGUUCAUGUACAUUCGGUUUUAUUGGAAGGGUCAUCUACCUUGAUGUGAUAUUUGGAGGAGGGGAUAGCUACAUUGCGGUUUGUAUGCACCAGAAACCUGCCUGCACAUGGACAAGACAAGCUGCACCUCUACUACAAAUACACAACGAGGGGCAGAGAACCCCUCGCUGUCACGGCUGUGCUACUGGAGGCUCUGGGGAAGUCAGAAUAGGAGAGCACUUAUCUUGGGGUGGGCUUACCACUUAGAUGCUUUCAGCUGUCGCACCUUACUACUACAAAUAGACAACGAACAUGUCAACAAGCAACGCAGUUGUACUUUUAUCAACCAAAGCAUAUUGUUUGGUAACGUACAUUUACAUAACUGCAGUUUAUUUGUUGGCCCAUGCAUAUUUACUUUUGUCAUAUACUGGAUUAGAGCCUAAAUGCAAACCCAGAUAUAGUUUUUCUUUUGGUCAAUAUGAUUAGGAUUAAUAUUUAAUAGUGAAAGAAAUAUUACAUUGGUUAUUUAUUUUCAACAAAGCCUUAAUUUCAUACCUUGCUUUAUUUAAGGGAUACAUCAAAAGUGUUCUGUGGAUUGAAUUGAACAUUUUGGAAAUUUUGUAACCCAUGUUGUAUCUGUCUUUGCUUUCAAUUCCAACUUCUUUGGGCAUAAUGAAAGAUCUACAACACGACUAGAGCUACUACAAAGCAGCCUGUUCUCUAUAGCAGAAAGAGGCUUCAUGGCCACGCAUCAAAUUCCAUGUACAUGGGGAUGCAUGCGGAUACAAAUGAGAAUACAAAUGAGAGUAUUUGAUUGAAUUAGUCUCUGAACUUUGACUAGUGGCUGUAUUCAACAGGCAGAAUCAAGAGGCAAAAAAACACAUGGUACAAUGAAGGUCGAUCGCUUUGGUUAGCUCAAUGAAGCCCA